UUAUAUAUAUAUAUAUAUAUAUAUAUAUAUUGCUUAGUAUAUAUAGCUUUGUUAUUGGAACAUAACGUUAAAAAAAAUUAUAAUUUUGUCAUGCGAUCUUCUCAAAUUGUUUCUAUAAUCUCGAGACAUUUCCUGCAUUUUGACAGAAUAACAUAACUAAUGCAAACGACAGACUGGAAAGCCAGUUCUUUGUAGCCAUGAAGUGACCGCGCGUGACACGUUGUGAUUUAGGUAUUUUUAUUAUUAAAUUUAGGUAUUGUGAAUGUUAUUUAAUGAUAAUGUCGAUAAUAUUACAAUGUUGAACGUUAAAUGCGAGUGUAUACGAAUGCCUUUUGAAUGAAACGUAAUGGAACGUCUGAUAAAUUUUAGAUCCCGGGUCACGAAUUUGAGAAGAUGUGUAUAUGAAUACACGUGCAUAUGAUUAAAAGAUAAUAAUUGCAUGUUCAAGUACAGCAAAAAUUCUCGUAAUCCUAUGGCUAAUUUACAUUGAGUUAUUACGCAUUCUUAGCUGUAACUUGUCCAUGUUAUAUAAGCCUGGUGUUAUUCAUAAUCGGGACAUAAAAGUGACGAAAAAUACAAACGCAGCAGACGGAAAAGUAAUCGAAUCGAUAAUAUAGAACUGACAAUACUAAACAUUACGUUUCCUUCGACAUGCGACACGAGAAUUGAGAGAACACUAAUAUUUAACGAAAAGAGGACUGAGUGGAAUGACGUUUAAACAACUCCCUGUUCUUGUUGCUAUUUAUUUAUACACAAUAAGUCCUUAAUAAGCCUCUGAUGCGACUGUAUUAAAAAAAAAGAGAAAGAAAAAAAAAUCCGAUAUAAAAUUUACCCAUACUGGACUUUCAGAGAGGACAAGAAAGAAAAAGAAAGAGGGAAAGAGAAAGUGGCUACUUCUAACAUAAAUGCUCCAAGUGAUGAUCUUUUUUUACUGAAACGUGUAGAGAAAUAAAGACUUGAAGUACACUUGUAAGUAUCCUUGACGUAUGGCAGGCACUGCCCUCGACGAUUAUUUCGCAAAAGAAUCAACACCACACUUGCAAAAUGCGUAUAUACUUAUACAAAUUGCAAACACUCGUUUACCUAUCAGAAAUCAGUGAUGGAUUGUUUGCACGAGACACAUUCGAAGAAAGGGUAAAACAAAAUCGGUGUGAAAGAGAAUUAUAAUUAUAUAGAGAUUAUUUUAAAGUUAUUAUUAAUUAAAAUAAAUCUCAGCUUUGUAA